rnacentral:rRNA from 1 species
UGAGGAAUAUUGGACAAUGGGCGCAAGCCUGAUCCAGCCAUGCCGCGUGCAGGAUGACGGUCCUAUGGAUUGUAAACUGCUUUUGUACAGGAAGAAACAGUUCUACGUGUAGAACCUUGACGGUACUGUAAGAAUAAGGAUCGGCUAACUCCGUGCCAGCAGUCCGCGGUAAUACGGAGGAUCCAAGCGUUAUCCGGAAUCAUUGGGUUUAAAGGGUCCGUAGGCGGUUAGAUAAGUCAGUGGUGAAAGCCCAUCGCUCAACGGUGGAACGGCCAUUGAUACUGUCUGACUUGAAUUAUUAGGAAGUAACUAGAAUAUGUAGUGUAGCGGUGAAAUGCUUAGAGAUUACAUGGAAUACCAAUUGCGAAGGCAGGUUACUACUAAUGGAUUGACGCUGAUGGACGAAAGCGUGGGUAGCGAACAGGAUUAGAUACCCCCGUAGUCCCUGAGCGGGCUGGCAAGGCGCAU